CCAGAUUUGUUGCAGUAUCUGCAAAAGAGGGGUCCUCUAUUUGACUCAAAAUUAACUCUGGGUCUGAAAACAGAAGAACAAGGCACUGAGGCCUGAUUAAACCCAACUGGAUGCUUAUUUGUGCUAGCAUUAAAAGACAUGGAGUCUGGACUGAAUUGAGAAACAGAUUGAACUUAUCCCCAUUUCUCAUCAUUAAGCACUAUGUUGUAAACACUGUCAAGGGAAGGAAAAGGCUGCAUCAUCAAUAGGUUGCUCCUAACCCCCAUGUAUGCUUCAUUUAGGCCCAUGAGAAACUGGAAUACCUUAUUCUCAUCAUCUUCCUGAAUUAUCCCAUUCUUAGCAGCACAGACACAUCUCUGC
rnacentral:lncRNA from 1 species